rnacentral:rRNA from 1 species
UACAGAGGGUGCAAGCGUUGUCCGGAUUUACUGGGCGUAAAGCGUUUCGUAGGUGGCUUUAAAAGUUAUCUUUCAAAGUCCAAGGCUUAACCUUGGGAAGGGAGAUAAUACUGUAGGGCUUGAAAGUUAUCGGGGUUUUCGGAACUUGCGGUGUAGGGGUGAAAUCCGUUGAUAUCGCAAGGAACACCAAGGGCGAAGGCAGAAAACUAGGUAGUCUUUGACACUGAGGAACGACAGCUAGGGGAGCGAAAGGG